UAUGCUUAGCCUUAAACCCAGAUGCACCCCUACAUCUACAUCCGCCAGGGAACUACGAGCGCAGCUUGAAACCCAAAGGACUUGGCGGUGCCUCAAACCCACCUAGAGGAGCCUGUUCUAGAACCGAUACCCCACGUUGAACCUCACCACUUCUUGUUUUCCCCGCCUAUAUACCGCCGUCGUCAGCUUACCCUGUGAAGGACUUACAGUAAGCAAAACGGGUUCACCCAAAAACGUCAGGUCGAGGUGUAGCGUAUGAAGUGGAAAGAAAUGGGCUACAUUUUCUAUAAUAGAAUAUCACGGACGGUACUUUGAAAUUAGUACCCGAAGGUGGAUUUAGUAGUAAAAAUGAACAGAAAAUCUUUUUGAACCAGGCUCUGAGGCGC
rnacentral:rRNA from 1 species